CGAAAGGUUGGCUAAUACCGCAUACGCCCUACGGGGGAAAGCUAGGGACCUUCGGGCCUGGCGUUAAUGGAGCGGCCGAUAUCUGAUUAGCUAGUUGGUGAGGUAAAGGCUCACCAAGGCGACGAUCAGUAGCUGGUCUGAGAGGACGACCAGCCACACUGGAACUGAGACACGGUCCAGACUCCUACGGGAGGCAGCAGUGGGGAAUUUUGGACAGUGGGCGAAAGCCUGAUCCNNCNAUUCCGCGUGAGUGAAGAAGGCCNNNGGGUUGUAAAGCUCUUUCGCAAGGGAAGAAAGAUUACUCUCUAACAUAGAGUGAUUAUGACGGUACCUUGAUAAGAAGCACCGGCUAACUACGUGCCAGCAGCCGCGGUAAUACGUAGGGUGCGAGCGUUAAUCGGAAUUACUGGGCGUAAAGCGUGCGCAGGCGGUUUUGUAAGUCAGAUGUGAAAUCCCCGAGCUCGACUUGGGAACUGCGUUUGAAACUACAAGACUAGAAUAUGUCAGAGGGGGGUAGAAUUCCACGUGUAGCAGUGAAAUGCGUACAGAUGUGGAGGAAUA
rnacentral:rRNA from 1 species